rnacentral:rRNA from 1 species
AGAAUCAACGCUGGCGGCGUGCCUAACACAUGCAAGUCGAACGCGAAAGGGGAGCAAUCCCUGAUUAGAGUGGCAAGCGGGUGAGUAACACGUGGGUGACCUGCCUUCGAGUGGGGGAUAACCUUCCGAAAGGAGGGCUAAUACCGCAUGACAUACCGUGUUUGGAUACACGGAUAUCAAAGCCGGGGAUCGCAAGACCUGGCGCUUGGAGAGGGGCCCGCGUCCGAUUAGCUAGUUGGUGGGUAACGCUCACCAAGGCUCCGAUCGGUA